CUUCGAUUCCUGCUGAACAUGCAUCAAAACAGUUAAGUAGUAAGUGUUUUUUUUGUUUUUUUUUCUCAUAAAUAUAAGAAAUCUGCCUGGGAAUUGUACCACUAGUAUUCGCUGUGAUAGUUAUUGAUUGGGCAUAAGUGAAAUGUCAUUUAAAUAAAUUAGUGUAAUCAUACAACCCACAUGCUAUUUUCAGAGGGCAAAAAAACGAAAAACAAAUUCCAUUACAAGAAACAGAGUUUUGUUUAUCGGGUAACUGGUUAUGCACUAAGGUAAUUAUUCUGUUAGAGUUAUGUGCCAUUUCUCCUGCACUCGCCCGAGGGGCCUUCAAAAAAGAAUAGAAUUAAUUCUAUGCCAGAAACACGAGGUUCAUAACUUCAUCUCUGUCAUAAAACAGGAGUCACACAAACAAAAUGACAUUUUCUUUCAUAAUUGCUUGACCUGCACCACUCCGAGGGUAAUCAGCUUGCUCGCAAACUUUUGUUCCACUUUUAAAGAAGUUAUAAUAAAGGGAAAUUGUAACUCGUAAUGCCAUAAACCAUUAGAAAAAAAAAAUAUAUAAUAAAAAAUAUACAUAAACUGGUUGACUUAAACCAAUUGCAUCGUUAAUUAUAAUAAGCAUUAAUUUGAUAUUUUUAGGUACAUUGAACAAUAAAUAAAUAGUUUCACUUCUGUUUUCUAAAAGAAUCUGAGCUCAGACAAGAAAAAUGCAUUGCUAUUUUCUUCGGUUCCUCUGUAAAAUAGGUCAAAAAUAAAACAUGGAACUUAAAGGGACAUUCUAGGCACUGUAACCAUUUCAUCUUAUUGAAUCAGAUAUAGUUCCUGGAGUCCCCCGGCACUGUUAAACCAUUUCAAGCAGUUUCUGUCAUGAUCACUAGAGGAACCUAAGCACACAGACGGGACACUACACAUAGAAUCAGUGGUGUAUCCUGGUUUUGUGCUGCCCUAGGCUGCCCACUGACAUGGUCAGUGGGUCUGGGCUAUUCUAAGUGGUGGAACUCUAGUUCCCCCCCAAUCCCCACCCAUUGGACCUAGUGUUUUCCCCCAGCCACUGCCUAUGGGUAAUAAUAUUAAGGGGACAUAACAUAUUUUCCUCCCUCUUUCCCUGGCCCGUUUGGCCGGUGGAGACCCUAAUCAUAAAAUUCAGAGAGAGAAGACCUAGUGUCCCCUAAAGCCCCCUAAGGCAGUAGGUGGAGAUUAUAAAUAAUUACACAAUGUGGGCCUGAUAUUGUUUAACAACCCCAAAUAGUGGCAAGUAUACCAAAUUCCCUACUGAUUGGCUUGGCAGCUCAAUCUCCUAGCUACCCCUUAUAAAAUUAAAAAAACUCUACCUACCUUCCCUCACUCUAAUAAUAGUGAGGGGACAAUUAAACUAUUACCUGUGAAUUGAUAAAAUUAUACUUACCAUCAAAAGUCUCCAUUCUUCUAACUCUUCCUUUCUUCAGCCCAUCCAAGUACUGGUCAGCCACCACAUAAUUAAUCCUCGCACUGCCAAGGGUUUUUUAACUGUUUGCCUGCUACCUGCUAGAGCUGCCAGCAGACAAAUAGAACUAAAAAUGAUCAUUCACUUGCAAAUAAGCAGGUGAACGAUAAUUUGUGAAUGUGCAUCCUGCCAGAUGUAUUUGGUUCUGAAUUUUAGUAAAACCAGUGCCUUGUGAGUACAAAUUAAAGGUUAAGAUGCAAAAGCACCAAUUUGAAUCUGGACACCGAAUGCAUGUGGGCAACAGCUUGGGCCGAACGAAAUCCAACUGUAUUUGGCUUUAGGAAAUGUGAGUCUUGCCAUUGCAGUUGAAAAUCGGUCUUAUUUCACCAUAUUUUGACAUUUACGGAAAAAUUUUGUCUCUAGUGAAUAAUCCUGUUAGCCCUUUUUUAUGUCAAUGUAUAUAUGCUACUGAAUCUGUUGGCGCUAUACAAAUGGCAAUAAUAAUAAUAAUAAUAAUACCUGCACACAAGAGCAGAGAAGUGCAAUUGUACCUCGUUUUUUUUUUAUCAUUUAAAAUCUAUGUGAAUGUACAGUUUAUAUUAUAUUUUCUCUGGGUGCAAUACCCAAAUAUAACGUACAGGACGUGCAUAUCCUCUUUGAGUUGUUCCCACUCUGCUCUUUCUUUCUUUUUCCAGUUAUUUGGGACCAAUCUUGUUUUGCUCUGCUGCUAUGGGAGAGUAGCUAAACUGGAAUCAUAACAGACCUAGAGAUUUUUUUUGUAGGUUUAGCUAUUUUGUUCUCAAAUUUAAAAUCUACUUUGAAUACUCACUUUUUGACUCUGUACCAGGAAUUAAAAAUGAAAUUAAAGUAAAUUUCAAAUUUAAGGCUAAAAUAAUCUAACUGGAAAAAAUCUCCAACUUACCUGUGCUUCAAAUUACGCUAUGUUGGCCUUACAUGUGAAAUUCUGUUCAAAUUCACUUCAAAUUCAUGUCAAUUCUCCCUUUAUUAUUAUUAUGUUAUUUAUAUAGCGCCAUCAAAUUCCACAGCGCUUUACAAUGGGUGGACAAACAGAUGAUAGUGUGUGUAAAUGCCAGUAGGUGUCUAAUUGCUGAGCAUUGGAACACACAAGACUUGCACACAAAUCUUGUUCAGCUGCAAUGAAUUAAUCAAAUGCCUGUUAAACACUGGGUGAACAGAAUAGGUUAUUUUUCUGGUACGAGUGAGUAGAGCGAUUAACAGGCACUUGAAUGGCUCAGCAGAGAUGAACAGGUUGUGUGCACAAUUCUAAAACUCACCCUGGAAUUCCUUCAUUUGCAGAGGCUGUGCAAUAUAUUGAGCUGUUAAAAUGGACCGGGUUUCUGCAAUCGCCUCUCAACGCGACUAAACAAUGUCAAAACAGUACCUCGAGGGAUAUCAGCUAUACAUCACUGACGAUGCCUAACACGGCUGAAACGGUCAUAUGGGGUUGCUGUAUCUCUUAUGCAGAGAGAGCCAACCUGCAUUCUGGAUCUGGACAGCUCUUUUGGGUGGGAUUAGUCUGAUAUGCAAAUGGACCUGGUUCUUUUUAUAAUGGCACAAGAUGAGCUAAAACCAGCUUGAAGGGCAGACUAUUUGAGCUGUUGUCCAUGCUCAGUACUCUCUUGCACCUUGUUUUUUUUCCUUUCCAUAAGUUAAAAGGGUAAUCCAGGCGUAGACUCCUUGCUCACGGUGCCUAGAGGGAUAUCAGUUAUACCUCACUAACGAUGCCCAACAAGGCUGAAACAAUCGUCUGGGGUUGCGUUAUCUUUUGUGCAGAGAGAGACGGCACGCAUUUCGGAUCUGGACCGCCAUUUUAGAUGGGAUCAGUCUGAUAUGCAAAUGGCCCUUGUUCUUUUUAUAAUGGCACAAGAUGAGCUAAAACCAGUUUGAGAUUUGAGCGGGAACCCACCGAAGGGCAGGCUAUUUGAGCUUUUGUCUGUUCUCGGUACUCUCUUGCACCUUAUUUUUUGCACUAAGCAAUGUCAAAAUGUCAACCGUCCUCAGUGCUUAUAGACAGUCCUAAACUAUAUAAUGAAAUAGGCUAUCUUAAAUAUAAUUUCUAUACUUUUGUAUGUUAAAUGACUGCAAUUAUCAAUGUAUAUCCACUGUUUAGUGCAAAGUAUUCCAUGUGUUGUAAAGAAAAAGGCUCUGCUAGUUCAUGUCUAGUCAUAAUUAGUAGGCUAUAACUGGUUACAGUCUGUCCCAUAAGUGCCUCGCUAGUGAAUUGCUUUACUGAGCAGGGACCCAUGCCUCUUCUCGUAUAUUAAAAUAAGCUUGGUAAGAUAAAAUGUAAGUGCGUAGGAAGUGGAAGGUGGUGAUUUAUUGAGCAUGUCACCAUAAAUGAUUCUUAAAUCCAAUCAAUGUAAUUCUUUAAUGGAUUUGAUGCUGAUGCACAGUCAGUUCUGUGAAAUAUUUGAUUGAUAUGCAGAUUCCCAUUUCAUUAGCGCACAAUAUUUAAUUAACUCUAUAAUUCCAGAGAUUGCAUCGUGACGUUACAGUUGCAGGGAAAAAUAAUCAGACAUUAAAAAAGUUUUUUAAAAAGUUGCUAAUUAAUUAUUUGCAGGGAAACAAAAAGGCACUAAUUGAAUGAUAAUUCUGCAGAAAAAAAAUGAAACUAGUUUAAUAGAGAGUUUCAGAUCCUUAUUGUUCUCGCUGUGAGACACAAAGUCCACUGCUGGAGCCGAAGUCUAUUUACCCAAAUCCUGUCCUACGUACAAUCCUGUUAAUGAACUUGUCCCCACAGAAGGGUUUCUAUUGGUCCUUUAUUCAUUUGCAAAAUAUAAUCAUAUCAGUCUGUACAUUUAAAAAUCAGGAUUUAAAUCGAGUCUUACUGACUAGUGAUUAAAUAAAUCAAAUCCUGUAUUUCCCAUACUGUGUUGUUCGUUUAUCUUCAUCACUACAAUCUUCUAUUUCUAAACUAAGGUUGUGCUUUUCCUCGUGCACUUUUCAACAAAUUGAGAACCAUCCAGAUGUCUAUCCAGGUUGUAUUAUCCCAUCCGAACGCUGUACAUCUCCCUGUAAGUUAAUGAUGUAACUCUGUGUGCUGCCCUUCCUGUCUCUCAGCAAUAAACCCUUCGUUAAUAUUAAGGAAGUAAUUUCUCAUAAUUAUCUGCUAAAAAAAGAAUAUAAAAAUUUAAAUCAUACUGGCAUACAUCUAUUGUCUUACAAGUGCUGAUGACCACAUUAAAGGGUCACUCCAACCCAAAAACUGGAUUAAAAAAAAAAAAAGCUUUUGAAUAGAGAAAGGCUAGACUGGGAAAAAAAACUGGCCUGGGCAUUUUUCAAUCACAGCGGAGAAGGGUGCGGGGCCAGACAGGGUCCUGUGUUUUGUCAUCACUAAUGACAAGUACAACCCCUCUCAAAGUAAGCAUGUUGGUUCACUGCGCAGAGCCCCGCUAAAGAGCUCUAGCAUGAGAAAAGGGCCCUGUAUUAGUUCUGCGCAGCGCCAGCAAAUGUUAUAACAUGCUUGCGCUGUGUUUGCUUUUAAUUUGUCUCUGGCGUCUCCAUAAGUGGGAUACCAAAAGACAAAAGGACCAGGAAAGCGUAUGGAGCAUGUGUUUGGAGCCUGCUUGUGGGAUUGCGUGUGUAGAGUGAGAUGAUUGUGGUGUGGUAUUAAUAUGUAAUAUGUGUGGCUAGGGGCUGUAGAAGGUGUGCAUAUAGGGGGCAUAGUGUGUAUAGGGGAUGUAGAGAGUGUGUGCAUACGGGCUGUAGAGUGUGUGUGUCUCUAUAGGUGACGUAGUGUGUGUAGGGUUUGUAGAGAGUGUGUGUUUAGAGAAUGUUGUAUGUGUUUGCAUACAAGGAAUGUAGUGUGUGCAUAGCGGAUCCAGAGAUUGUAUGUCAGGAAUGUAGUGUGUGUAGGUGGUGCAGUGUGUGUAUAGGGAAUCUAGUGUGUAAAGGACCCAGAGUGUGUAUAGGAGAUUGUAUGUGUGUGUGUGUGUGUGUGUUUGUAGAGGAUUCAGAGUGUAUAUAGGGUAAGGGAUCUAGCGUGUAUCUGGAGCAUAAUGUGUGUAGUGGUGCAGUGUGAGGGGUUCUGUAGUGUAUGUAUAUAUACAUAUACAAAAAUAUAUAAAUAUGUUUUGACGUAUUGUAUGUGUGAAGGGUGCAGCAUGUGUGUGAGGGGUGCAGUGUGUGUGUAAGAGGGGUGCAGUGUGUGUCUGAGGGUGUUCUUAUCUACCGUCACAUUCUGUUUCUAAUUUUCUUUAUCUGUUAACUCACUGAUGGUUAUUUUAUAUAUGAUAUAUAUGUAUAUAAAAAAACAUAUAUAUAUAUAUGUGUGAGUGUGUGUGUGUGUGCUGUAUAUGUGUGAGGGUGCUGUUAGUGUUAGUGUAAUUGUGUGUGCUGUGUGUGUGAGAGUGUGCUUUGUGUGUGUGUGGGUGCUGUCUGUGUCUGAGGAUGCUGUGUGUGUGUGUGUGUGUGGGUGCUGUGUGUUUGUGAGGUUGCUGUUAGUGUUAGUGUGCAUGUGCUGUUUGUAAAGGAGUGUGCUGUGUAUGUGUGCUGUGUGUAUAUGAGAGAGCAGAGCUGCCAUCAGAAAUUUUAGGGCCCCUGACAGAGCUCAAGAUCUGGGCCCCCGGGGCCAGCCCCGAGUCCGCCCACAAGGAUGAAGUGUAUGUGUGUGUCUAUAGUGGAUGUAGAAUGUGUGUCAUUGAUGCAGUGUGUAUUGUAGAUGCAGAUUGUACGUUUUGUGUAAUGUAUGUAAUGUUUGUAUGCAUGCAUUAGAUGCAGAGUGUGUGUGUAGUGAAUGUAGGUGUGUAUAGUGAAUGCAGAGUGUAUGUUUGUGUAGUGAAUAUAGUGUGUGUUACAGUGAAUAGAGAGUGUGUGUUUUUGUAGUGGAUUUAGUGUGUGUACAGUGAAUGCAGAGUGUGUGUUUUGUAGUGGAUGUAGUGUGUAUAGUGCAUGGAGUGUGUUUGCAGUGAUUGUAGUGUGUUUGUAGUGAGUGCAAAGUGUGUAUAGUGCAUGUAGUGUGAUUGUGGUGAAUGCAAAAUGUGUAUAGUGAAUUUAGUGUGUUUGCAGUAAGCGCAAAGUGUAUAUAGUGAUUGUAGUGAGUGCAAAGUGUGUAUAGUGCAUGUAGUGUGAUUGUAGUGAAUGCAAAAUGUGUAUAGUGAAUGUAGUGUGAUUGUGGUUAAUGCAGAGUGUGUGUAUAGUGAAUGCAGUGUUUGUAGUGAGCGCAAAGUGUGUUUAGUAAAUGUAGUGUGUUUGUAGUGAGUGCAACGUGUGUAUAGUGAAUGUAGUGUGUGUAGUGCAAAGUGUGUUUAGGGGGCCGGGCCGUAUGGACACCAUAUGCAUGGGCUCCAGCACUAACCCGAGCAAAAAGGCACAAAAAAACAUUCCAGACUGCCUAAAAGUCGGAUACCUCGACAGCAAUGAACAGGGAACGGCCCCAUCUCAUCAUAGACGCCAGCGCACAACAUAUCACAAGCCGAGCAAGCGACAAAGACCGGGCCCGGCCUACACGCAGCCACAACAUGCAGUAUGGCGCCGAAGAAAGGCGCAGCCCCGAGACACUGGGCAGAUGAAGCCCCCGGUGUGCCGACCGCCUACACUGGCAAAAGCUGUAUGUGAAACAACAAGCCAGCAACAGUUGACACAGUCACGGAGGGAAAGGAGAGCUUUAGUGGGGAGGUUUAGGAGCUGAUACGGCGGAGGAAGUCCACCCUACAGAGGAAGCACCCAGGAAGAGAUGGCAGCGACACAAGAGAACAUGGAGGCCGCGGGAGUAAAGGACAUUUAUUACCUACGCUACAGGCCCUUUGUCUGUCUCAGGCUUAACUGCUUAUCACUGGUUGGACUGUGUGCCUUACCCUGAGAAACCACCCCAUUGACAUGACACCCGCAGGUGGAGGGGGCGCUGGUGGCGAUGCACAUGGGCGGUGGGGCCAGGUGGGAUGCUGACGCGGUGUCCUUGGGGCCCGCUGGCCGAAUGCUGUGGCUUUGGGACUGUGCCAUGCCGUGAUCGAGGUGCCGUCGCCUCUAGGUUUUGAGGAGGGCCUGAAGGUGGCUGUCCCCUACACUGUGAGCCAUAGUGAAGGGGAGUGUGGCAGCCCCCGGCAGACCAGUAGCUGAGGGGAAGUCCGCGCCUAAUCUAAGUGGCCAGAGAAGGGUGAGACACAUGAAGACCUUCGCCCCGUCUGGCUGGGGCCCUGGAGGCGCAGUGGGGGUACAGGAGAUGGCUGGCGCAUGGACUCUAGGUGAGGGGUCCUGUGGACUGGUGAGUCCCCGAGUGCCCGCUGCGCUAUGGAUCUCCCGGUUGGAGGCUUGGCGCAGCCUGGGAGCUGCUGCAGAUGGCUGGCACCUCUGGGAUCAUGUUUAUGGGCUUAGAAAAGCACGCCUGUCAUAUAAUGACUCUCUACAAUUAAGCUAACCCCCUGCGCUGGCAAAUUUAACUCUAAUAUCAUUAAUGUACCCGACUUUCAGUACGGCUUAAAGUUUUUUUUGUAUGAUUUCCAGUCAGUGUACACACGCACAGUUAAAAUGUUAUGUUGACAUCUACCGCUAUCACAAUGUGCCUCUGUGUAGGCAAACUUGCAUUUUGCUAUUAUACCAACAAUGUUGCAACAUACUCUGCACUAUAAAAUAAAAAAACAUUUAAAACAAAGUGUGUUUAGUGAAUGUAGUUUGUGUGUGUGUGUAUGUGAAGUGCAGAGUGCGUUUAGUAAAUGUAGUGUGUUUGUAGUGAGUGCAGAGUGUAUUUAGUGAAUGUAGUGUGAGUGUGUGUAGUGCAGAGUGUGUUUAGUGAAUGUAGUGUGUGUGUGUAGUGCAGAUUGCGUUUAGUGAAUGUAGUGUGUGUGUGUAGUGCAGAGUGCGUUUAGUAAAUGUAGUGUGUUUGUAGUGAGUGCAGAGUGUAUUUAGUGAAUGUAGUGUGAGUGUGUGUAGUGCAGAGUGUGUUUAGUGAAUGUAGUGUGUGUGUGUAGUGCAGAUUGCGUUUAGUGAAUGUAGUGUGUGUGUGUAGUGCAGAGUGCGUUUAGUAAAUGUAGUGUGUUUGUAGUGAGUGCAGAGUGUAUUUAGUGAAUGUAGUGUGAGUGUGUGUAGUGCAGCGUGUGUUUAGUGAAUGUAGUGUGUGUGUGUAGUGCAGAGUGUGUGUGUGUGUAAAAUAGGGGGGAGGGGAGUAUUAAAAAAAUAUAUAUAUUUGUGUAUAUUUAAAUAUUAUUCCCCUCUCCCUGCUUCUUACCGUGCCAGGGUGGGGGGAGAUCGCAUUGUGGAGUGAGCCAGCCGAUGUAAAUUGCAGAGGGGUGGCCCAGUAGCACACACCCUCUUCCUUUCCAGCUCCUAUCUGACUAACUCUUGCGAGACAGGCCUGCGUGCUGUGAGGAGCGUUGCCAUGGUAACCUGUGGCAAUGCUCUGGCGGCCGCAGAGCGCAGGAAAGUUAGACAGAGAACAUCUGGAAAGGAAGACAGAGUGUGCUGCUGGGCCCCCCUCUGCAAUGUACAGGUAGCAGGGGGCCCUCAGUGCACACAUAUAUAUAUAUAUAGCGAAAAUCCCUAUAUAUAUAUGUGCACAUAAGGAAUGUGGGGCUCGGACUGCCAGAAUAGUCCGGGCCCCCCAGGCCCGCCGGCCCAUGACAACCGUUAUGGUUGUCAUGCCCUGAUGGCGGCCCUGUGAGUGAGUUCUGUGUGUCUUAGUGUGCUGUGUGUGUGGGUGCUGUGUGUGUCUGAGGGAACUGUUAGUAUGAGUGUACUCAAAACUUUAUAUCCCCCCCUCUUCUUACCUUUAGCCUGGGGGGGAGAGGGGAACUGUGCUGCCAUGGAGGGGGGACUGUGCUGCCAUCUGUGGUGGUCUUAGUGGUGAGUGAACUCUAGCCUGCAGGGCUAGAGUUCACUCUCGCGAGAUCUGAGCGUUGCUGUGGUAACCGCGGCAACACUCCGACCUCGCGAGAUGAACCCGGCAGAGCUGCUUGGUAGACCUCCCCGGGCUCUCUCCUGCCGCCCUUCCUCCCCAGCCGGCGGCCGCAUGUCAGUGCCUGAGGGCCGUUGAAGGAGAUCUUUGAUCUCCACACUGGCCCAUGAAGGUACACAGUAGGGCCUGUGAUCUCCCCUGCCAGCCUCAGCCCAUAGCCAUCGCGGCCCACCGGGCAUUUGCCUGGUAUGCCUGAUGGCCAGCCGGGCCUGGAUCAGAGUAAACUUUCCAAUUUAGGUUCCUCCCCUCCUCCAAUUAAAUAAAUAACAGCUAAAAUUGAACUGCUUUCCAUCACUGAAGCCAGGUCUUCGAUGUUUAUCUACUGACACCAUAACCCCUGGUGGAGUAGGAGGGAUGUCAGGGAGGACGACUGAGGGGAGGAUGGGUGGCAGGUUGGGGGAGCCCACGCUGCCAUUGGCUGCCUGUCACGAACAUAGUGCCGGCAUACAUGCAACAGUUUGCACAGAAUUCACUUUUGCCACCCAGAACAAUUUUUCCAGGCUGCCUGGUGACAGUUGAGUUACACCUCCAUCAGCAGAUUGGUUAAUCUCAGCAUGUACAGUGUUUCCUGGAAGAUUCCAGGCACCAUGAACCCUGCAAAUCAAUGGUCAUGGUGCUUGGGUUAAAUAUCAUGAAAAUCAGUGAUGUUACAGGAUUUUAAGAAAAGACCAAGCAAUGAGAUUGAUGUAAUAGUAUUAAUACAGGUCUCUCUUCAUCUUUAAUGGUUUCAAAUCAACAAAUGAAUAACAUUAGUAGACAUUUGUAGAUAUGAAAACAGGGUCCAUAUGGUUUCUUAAUUCUAAAUAGACGUGUAAUUUGUGAAAAAGAUUAUCUUCAAACUUGUCAUUUACUAGUUUAUACUCCAUACCCCAAUCCAUGAUCUUAAUCCAAAGCAUGAUUACAAGACAUAAAAUUUAUCUCUGCCCUCAAAACUCCCACUACUCAUGGGUGGCAGCAAUGGCUAUAGAAUUCAUCAGCCCAAAUUCAUAGAACAAAAGCAAAAAUGUUACCUGCACACCAUCCCAAAUCCCUAUCUAAAUUUAAAUAAGAGGAUUUUGUAGUACAAUUUCAAUGGCUGUUAAAGUGUAGGUUCACCUGACCCAUGAUGGCAAACCUCAUAACUGAGUGAGUCUCAUUAGAGAUUUUCCCUUUUCUCAUAAAAGUGAAUUGUUAGUGUAGGACUCCUCUACAAGGUGUCCCUUGACAGGGCUGAUGAGCUUACACUUUAAAGGACCACUAUAGGCACCCAGACCACUUCAGCUUAAUGAAGUGGUCUGGGUGCCAGGUCCAGCUAGGUUUAACCCUUUUUUCUAUAAACAUAGCAGUUUCAGAGAAACUGCUAUGUUUUUAUAUUAGGGUUAAUCCAGCCUCUAGUGGCUGUCUCAUUGACAGCUGCUAGAGGCACUUCCGCGCUUCUAACUGUGAUUUUCACAGUGAGAAGACGCCAGCGUCCAUAGGAAAGCAUUGAUUAAUGCUUUCCUAUGAGACUGGCUGAAUGCGCGUGCGGCUCUUGCCGCGCAUGCACAUUCAGCCGGUGAUGUCAGAAGAGGGAGCCCGGCGCUGGAAAAAAGGUAAGGGAUUAACCCCUUCCUCCCCCUUCAGCGCCACGGGAGUAUGUUUUCCUGGCUCUAUAGUGGUCCUUUAAUGGUCAUUAGAGUGGUACUAAAAACCUCCUGUUAUUUAAAAUGCAUAUGGCUUAAGGUUAGUGGGUACUGUAUAGGUAACUUUUUGUUCUAUAUAAGUGGGCUGAUGUAUAUUGUAGCCAUUGCUGCUCCCCAAGAGUAGUGAAGGAUUGAGCUAAUUGCUUAAUUGUAUGUGUUUGUUUCUGUAUUACACAGAGAUGUUACAGUGCUGCCGCCCACCACAUAAAUUCCCUAUUAGGGAUUAAUAAGGGUGUAAGACAGAAGAAGACAACCUUCGGCACUCCUGAUUUUGUGGACUAUAUCUCCAAUAAUGUUGGCAAAGCAUCAAGGGAGGUGUAGUCCACAGCAUCUUGAGUGGUAAAGGUUGCUUACUCCGGGUGUACUGGUACAUAGGAAUUCCCCUUCCUGUCUAUUUCCAUAAAGCAGAACGGUGAAUUGUGAGUGUAGGACUCAUCUAAGAGGUUUUUCUAGAUAGGGCAGGUGAGCUUACAAUUUCAUGGUCAUUGGAGUGGUACGAAAAACAUUCUGCUGUGUACCUGCCCAUAGGGAUUUGGGAUAGUGCGCAGGUAACUCUUUUUGUUUUCAUUUUAUAUUCUAGAAACAUUGAACCUAAUAAUAUUUCAUCCAUUUUCACUGCACCUUGGGGGGAAUAGAAAUUUAUUAGGAAAAUACUUUAGGAAAAUAAAUAUAAAGAAAAAUAAACAAGUGUAGUACCGUUCUAGACAACACAGUGAGGGGGAUUCCCUUAGAGAGAAUUAAAGCUUUUAAUCACGGCAGGAUGUUGAUUAGCGCAUAGAAUCCUGAGCAUAAAGGUAAUUUUAAUCAGACACCAAAAGGACUUCAAAAGCAUCACUAAUAAAGCCCCCCAAAGGGCACUUGAAAAAUACUAAUGUAUCAAAUAAAGUAAAUAGCUGGUUGGUUGCUUUCCCAUAUUGAAUUAGAACAUAUCUGUGCAUGUUUAUUUUAAAUUGUUUCUUUACCUGUUUGACAAUGUUUCACAUUAUUUUGGCAAUUAAAUUGUUAGAGGGAUGUAUUCAAUAUAAAGUCAGUUUUCAAUGAGUUUUGGAAACUUUGUUUAAAAAGUCUGCAGAAUGUGGCUAAAAAUUGCACUUUGCAAUCAGCUCAAAGUUCAUGUAUUACUGAAAAGCCUAAAAGGCAAAGUAUUUUUUAAAUAAAUGUUGAAGUUGAAAAGAUACAAAAUAUAAAUAAACUAACACCUGAGUAAUAGCUCCUGUGUAUUACCUUAAAGGGACACUCCAGGCACCCAGACCACUUCUGACCAUUGGAGUGGUCUGGGUGCCAACUCCCACCACCCUUAACCCUGCAAGUGUAUUUAUUGCAGUUUACAUAAACUGCAAUAAAUACCUUACAGGGUUAAGUCCUCCUCUAGUGGCUGUCUAUCAAAAGUGUUUUAAACGAAAAGUGUUUUAAACGACACUGGACGUCCUCACGCUAUGCAUGAGGACAUCCAGCGUCGCCGGAAUCCCUAUAGGAAAGCAUUGGAUAAUGCUUUCCUAUGGGGAGGUCUAAAGCGCGUGCGCGGCCAUUGCCACACAUGCGCAUUAUGUCUCCCCUGCCGGUGGGGGAGGAGCAUGGGCGAAGCCUGACCCAGCACCGCGAGACAUCGGUGCUGCAUUCAGGUAAUUCACUGAAGGGGUUUUAACCCCUUCAGCAAAAUGGGAUGGGGGUGGGAGGGAGAGGGGCACUGCAUGGUCCUGCAGUGCCAGGAAAACGGAUAUGUUUUCCUGGCACUGGAGAGUCCCUUUAAACAUUAACAAACUCACUCAUACAGCUAAAGGAGCUAUUUAGUGUUAGGUAUGCAAAGAAAUAUAGAUAUAUUUUUAACACUGACAUGUUUCUUGCCCCACCGCCGCUGGCAUUGUAAAGCAUUACAUAACCAUUUAUUUACUUACCCGAUUCCAGCGAUGAUGUUCUGAUACCAGGAGAUGGAAUGUGAUGCCACCCCAGCUACAGCAUUAGUAUGGAGAGGCAGGGAGCUGUGCAUUCCAUGCACAACGAGAUUCCAGUCGUUAUAGUGCAUAAUGAACCCAUACUAAUUGGUUAUACUGGUGCAGAGGCAACAAACUUUAACAAAAGAGAAAUCCAAACAGAAGCAGAAAAAGCGUCACUGAUUACAUUUGUCACUGUUGCAACGACUGAGAUUUUAGCUGUUGUUGUUUGAAUAAGCCCCAUGGUACCUUUUUUACUCUGAUUUGUUAGCUAUAGAUUUGGCACUUGCCACCUCUCAAUAUGUUUGUGUGUAUAUUUAUUUAUAUAUUUAGAAGGGAGAAAAGAGAGCUAAUACAUUUGAAUCUUUAGGAAAUUAACAGAAUAAACAUUGGGUAUAACCCAAGCGAAAUGUAACAAUUACUACCAUAACAAACAAACUGUUAAUUAACUAAAGAACAUCGAGUAUAGAAAAGAAAAAACUUAUAAGGAUUCAUUCUUACCUAUGCUAUCUAUCCAACACAUGUAGCAUUGGGAUUAAGUUACCAUUACUUUAUUACUUUCUUGCUAUUUGUAACUUGAUAGGCUAGUACUUCUAUAAGCUACUGAUUAUACAUUUCUGUUGCUAUUUAAUAUAUAUAUAUAUUUAUAUAAAUAUAAUAUCAUUUUAUAUAUAUCUAUUGUCUAUUAGUUUUAUAUUUCGACUGUCAUGUUGAUUUUAGUUUGAUAUACAUUGAAAGCUAAGUGUUAUCUAUUAUAUACAUUUAUAUAUUUAUUUCGUUUUUUAAGUGGUAUGAUUUAGUGGAGGAAAUUGUGAGUGUCUCCCGCAUUUUGAUUGUGGUGUCUUAUAUUCCUAAAUUGUUCUCAGAUUCACCACUGACCACACAUAACACUUUGCCCCUCAGUCCUUAGAGCAGUAGCAUGUUUAACUGUCUCCAGAAAAAAACAAACCAAAAAACACUGCAGUCAAUAGGGUGUAAUUUGGUGGGAAUUAGAGUAUGAGGUGUUUUACAUACUCCUACAUAAUACGGCUUAUGAUUCAAAGCAACAUUAAUUCAUUUUGCAUUGUACAAGACACAUUAUUUUUUGCAUUUCUUGUGAAAAUUUAUCUUCUUUUUCUCCAUGUGUGUUUUUUAUUAUUACGCUCUAAACAUUAAUUCUUCUUAUUAAUUUUUAUUUUGAGGGGAGAAUAUUACAACAAGCUGAUGAUUUUAAUCAAGUAUCAUGGUAUGUUUUGGUCAAUUUUACAUGACAGAGUUGUUUUGUUUUUGUAGAAAGAGAUUAAGAAAGAUGUCAUUGACCCAUAUAUUUAUAGGAAUCAGCCUUAAUCUAUAUAUAAAGAAUCGAUCUCCAAUUUUACCACUGGAAGAGUCUUCGUUACUUCUUGGCUUGUGAGGCUAUUUUUGGACCAUCCGAUAUUACCUUGCUGAGUUGAAGUAUUUGGUGCCAUUAGGAGCACUCAGAUGUGUAUUACAAAAUAAUAUGAGCAUCAUUCAGAGUGAUUAUAGCAGUGAUUAUAGUCUUUAUCCCACACCAUGAGUCGAGACUACAUGCAGGGGCUACCAAAAUGCAAAAGAGGUUCAGGCACUCCAACAGCUUCAGGCAAAUAUAUUAGAACUGAAGGUACCGUGCAAUGUUUCGACCCACAAAUGGGUCUUUGUCAAGUAUACAUACAGGGGUUAAACAGAGCGGACUGUAUUGCUGCUGUGCAAAGGUAUUUAUACCCAAAAAGGGAAUUUGCACACAACAGGGUAAGUAACAGUACAUACAGUGCCAUAUCAAGUCCUCUUCCCAUAACACAAUGUUUUUCUUGCUGAAAACAACCCUUAGGGCCACAAACAAAUACUCACCUCCAUUUUGUCCCUAUAAUUUAAACAACCUAAAAAAAUGAAUGCACCUUGUAAAAUUACCACCCAAGCAGGAGGAAAGCCUAACCUGCAACCCUGGGUCCAUGACGGCCAGAAACCGUGAAAACCUUUCUUCUAGACUUCAAAAUCGCAGUCAAAUAUCUCCUUGGAUCAACAAGCUCUUACCCCACAUAUUAAUUACUAUAUAUAUCCUUGUGUAUUGAGUUUACUAUUUUUUCAAGCAUCCUGACAUUGUUCUGAUGAAUCUGCCAGAAUGUGAUAAAACAACCUCUUUAGACAGAGAAUUCACCAACUUUAUUGUUCAUACUAUAACAAACUCCCACUGUAGUAGAAAUCUCCUAUUCAAGUCUAAUUAGGUGACCACUUCUUUAUACAGUCCUAUUAAUGGUUACCUAUUGUUCAACUAGUGUAGUGGAAAGAAAAGUAUUUUUUUGCGCAGAACAGUAUCAUAUGUCUUAGCAAAUCACAUCCAUACAUACUACAGCACCUUUUAUACUUCUACCAACUUCUUUAUAAAAUGCAAACAAAUUGGCUUAAUGCGAUCUAUUUUUCAAAAUGUUGAUUACUACUAAUGAAAUGGUUGUUCACAAUUAGGUCAUGAAUAUUAACCCUUAAUAACUCUUCAAUUAAUCUCUCAAAUCACAUGUAAAUUUCACUUGUCUGUGAAGGUGCACUUUCUUUUUUGACUUUUUUUUUUUGGUAAAAUGUUUAUUGAAUAAUUUCAGUGUUAAAGUACACGCAAUACAGAUAUGAAGCAUUAGACUCACUUCUUAAAUAACUUGAGAAUUCUCCAAAUAGCAGUUAUAAAAAAAAAAAGUAGAAGAAAGAGAUUUAUAACAUGGUACCCAGUAUAACUAUUUAAGUGAUUCUUAACUUUUUAUAAAUAGUUAGACCGUUAACAACUUUUCUUUGGGCUGGUCUUGCUCUCUCUGGCUAUUGAUGAUGUAUUUUCUAGUUUAGCCGAUCUAACUGGUAUCUUUUAAGCCUUGUUGGCAUCCUUAUAUUUUAUAUACAGUGCUUCUGUCCCAUCUAACUUAAAUGCUUCCAAAUGCAAUUUUUUUAUUUUUUAUUACCUAAUGAUAUAUGCUGUGAAAUGUGCUUUUCCAUGUUUUCUCAGAGAAAAAUUCCCGACAGCCUAUUAGUUAUAAAAUUGCCUUAAUCUAUUGAAAUUGACCUUUUUUCUCAAAAUGAGAUGUUUUAGUGAACCAAAUAUAAAGUUGCAUCACACCAUAUUGUGGUCACUUUUACUGAAAUAGUUUACCCAGAUGUGCAGCUUUUUCAGUUUAUUCUAACAGCUAAGCUUUCCCAUCAUUAUCAAUAGUUCAGGGUUUAGAACAUAUUACUACAAAUAAUGUAUUGUCUUCUUAUCUGCUCAUAUUUACAUCCAUAUCACCAUCCUUGAAGCAUUUGAAUGUUUUUCUUUAAUCUGGACAUACGAGUGUCUUUCUUUAACUGGGAUUUAUGUUUACAUCUAUAUCAUUACGCACCAUACAAGGUUUUAAUUUAGGUUUGAUAUGUAAAAAUACCCCUCCCCCCCUUCUCAGUCCUUCCUAAACAAUUCAUACCCAUUUAAAUUAACUGCCUUGUAAUCCAUUUUAUCCUACUAUGUUUCAAUAAAACAUUUUAUGGUAUACUGUUUAUCAUAUGCCAAUGACUCAAGUCCCCAUUUUAUUACUCAGACUCCUUAAAUUAACAAGCAGACAUUUAAUGUUACCAUCAGCCUCUAGCACUGAGUUUAAUUUGUUUUUUUUAUCAUAUAUGUCCUCGGUGAUGAUCUCAAUUCUCUCCUGUUUUCCAACCGACCGAUUUUAUGUAACUGUAUGACCUUUAUAUUGUAUCUAAAAUUUGCACAUUCUAUGUCUCUUCCCCAAUUCCUGGUUUAAAGUCUUCUCCAACCACCUAGCCAUCUAUGUCCCCAGCAUAGUCGAGUGUCUUCCAUUCAGAUGUAAUCCAUCACAGCUAUAAAGAUUGUACCCAAGUGCAAAAUAAUCUCAAUGCUCUAAAAUCCCCAGGCCCUCCUUCCUACACUAGGACAUCGGUCAUACAUUCAACUUCGUAAUCCCCUGUUGCCUCUCCACUCCAUCUUCCACUGACUUUCCCAUUAAUACCAAUAUGAACCAUAGCUGGUUCAUCUGUAUUUAGUGAAAAACCCCAACAACAUGAGACGUUGGGAAUUCAAAGUGAUAUUCAAAUUCACUUGAAGAAACUUUCCACUUUGGUUAUUUUGGCCAUAAAUGUAAUAUUCAGUUGAAUUUACUUUAAAUUCUCCACAAUUCACAGUUUAGUGCAUAAUUCUAUGGAAUGUUUCAGAUGGCACAAUAAGGGUGUGCAUUGUAAAAAUAAUGCUUGCUUUACCCAUUGUUACAUUUUGACCCAUUGCCUAUAAUAUGUAUAGAAUAUAGAUGUUUUACCCUUCUUUAAUUUAGCACAUCUCACAAGGUACAACCUUGAUUUGUGUGAAUAAAUACAAUUUAAACCAUGAUGUUCCCUGCACCUAUAUCGUAUGUAUGUUAAAGAACCAAUCAAGUCACCUAGGCCACUGUCACAAUCCCUGUCCCUCGCUGUGUGAUCAUGGAAGUGAUGUCUCUUCUGUGUCCUGAUGCACACCUACUCAUCCCUAGCUUCCUGGUGUCUCAUUAUGACAUCAUAUAUGUCAUGGAACCCUUCAUUGGCCCCCUUUUAUAAUGUCAGUCUUUGUGGUGUUUUUUAAUGUUGUGUAAACACUUGCAACAUUAUGGCCAUCUGUAACCAAUCACAACCCAGUACAGGGUACAUGUAUCCUUACUGGUUGUCCUUGUUUCCUUGCCUUGUCGUGGUUUCUGUUUACCAGCGUGUGCAUUAUAUAUUACUUAUUAUUCCAUUUUAUGACCUUAACUUGUUUGACCAUUCUUAAUCUCUGUAACCCUCACCUUGUCUCGUUUCUCUUUUCUGUGUACCUCUGUAAUGCCUGACCUUGGCUUGUUAAAGUUUAUUCUGUAUCUGUUGCAGACUUUCUGACUAUAAGUUUAGUGUUACCCCGAGCACUCUAAGGACACAUAUCUUCCUUAGAGUUAGGGUCAGGCCAAUCCUGACAGCCACUUCAUCUCAAUGCAGUGGCCAGGUUGCAGUGGUCCUGUCCUUGUAACCAUGCACUAUAAAACAUAGCAGUUUUUUAAGAAACACUACAUUGCAGGUUUAAAUCCUCUUCCGGUGGCUGUCAUGCUGAGAGCCAUUAGUGGUACAUUUGCAGCACAAACUAAAUUAAACCCGUUCCCGUCACGUGGAAACAUCAAUAGUGAAGCAAUGACUCAAUGCUUGUCUAUGGGUAAACAGCAGCACAUGCCCACAUGAGGAGCACAGGAUUGGACACUGGCGGGGGAGGCCAUGCCUGCUCUGUGACAUCAUGGGAGGCGGAGAUUUUCAAAGUUAGCUAUUUUUAUUAUUUUAUAUGACAAAGAGAAGAGAGCUGUUUUUAAAUAGGGCCAAAGAUACUAAAGUGUUAAGAAUACAUGUAUUUAUUUCGGUUUUAGUGUUCCUUUAAUAUAGCAGAUACUGGAAUAAUUCCAGACAUAUCUGGGCAGAAUUUUAUGACUACAGAUCUAUGCAGCUCUGCUAUUUGUAUAACCAUUGCGAAAUAGAGUUCAGGAAAUGAGCUGGAGAUAAAAUCUCAAAUCCCAGCCAUUUAUAAAAUGUUUACACUGCUAACCAGGACAUGGAAUCCGCCCAUGAGUCUAAUCCACUCUCUAUCCAGCGCUCUGUGUUUCAGUACCAAGGACAGCAGCACCUCUACCCCACCCCCUCCUGCCUUUAACUAGUUAGAAAUCAUAGCCACGCCUCCCAGCACACCCCUGCCUCCUCGACUUCACGCAGAACGUUCGGCUUUGUGACGUCACAGAACCUGCGAACACAACGUUCUACUGGGUCCAUGGUUACAUUAGCGCGAGACUCAGGUAAAGCUUUUACACUGCAGUGCUGUCCCUAAUACAGCCCAUACAUAAUGGGUCAGCUGGAGGAACAGAGGGCUUAUCAGCUGUGUCCUCACACAUACAUGUCGGGGUACAUGCCUGGGUACAUACCUGGGUACAUACCUGGGUACAUGUCUGGGUACAUGCCUGGGUACAUGCCUGGGUGCAUGCCUCUGUACAUGCCUGGGUGCAUGGCUCUGUGCAUGCCUGGGUGCAUGGCUCUGUGCAUGCCUGGGUGCAUGGCUCUGUGCAUGCCUGGGUGCAUGGCUCUGUGCAUGCCUGGGUGCAUGGCUCUGUACAUGCCUGGGUGCAUGCCUCUGUGCAUGCCUGGGUGCAUGGCUCUGUGCAUGGCUCUGUGCAUGCCUGGGUGCAUGGCUCUGUGCAUGCCUGGGUGCAUGGCUCUGUGCAUGCCUGGGUGCAUGGCUCUGUGCAUGUCUGGGUAUUCCUGGUCAGAGUAAGGACAGGUCAUAUUCACAGACAUGCAAGUUGUGCUGUUAGCAGCUCGCAGAUUACACGGGGUCCUGUGUUGCUGUGUUAUCCUGGGGGUUUUGGACUCAGCUGGGAGCCAAGAAUUAGAAGCAGCAAUUUGAUCUGCUUUACCUUGUGCUCUCCAACAUGUUUUUAAAGCAACCCCCUGCUUGAUUUAUAUCCUGGUGGUGGGUGGAUUAAUCUGCAAAGGUGCAAGGCAGAGCUUCACUCAUAUAAACAAGGGUAUCUGAUAACAUGUAUCUUCUCUAUACACUUGGUGAGGCAGGUUACAUGGAUUAUUAAUGUGGCUAGCACAUAUACAUUUACAUAUACACAUGGGCAUUUCUACAUAUACAAGUAUAAACUUACAAGUUCUAUAUAAGGAGCAGUAUCAUUUAGAAACAGAUGCGAUUGUGUAUUUAACAUCAGUUACUUUUAUUUCUCACUUUUCAUAUAGCUGGUAUAAUUAAACUGAGAGCCCUGGAGAUGUUAACCUCUGAUUUUGGGUACACCGUACAGACAGUCCUUUAAUGCCCUGAGUAAUUUGUAUGAUUAAUAAUAAUAUAAUUAAGUGAGUUACUCCAUGCAUCAUAGCCACUGCUGCCUGCUGGAGUACCCUGGCUCCAUUCUCUGGUAUUGGGGUAUAUUGUUCUACAAGAGUUUAUCCUCUAGUUCCGCACGGCGCGGAGGGUCCUAUCCUGCUGGUUGAACGACAUGUGGGUUCUGUAGAACUGCUAGAUGCCAAUCUCAGUGGCCAUUUAUUGGUUGAGAGUGUCAGCUGAUCAUUUUCAGCCAAUGAAUGCCCCUCUGUGCAUAGAAAUAUUCGCAGCACAGACUUGGCAUCAACCAGCCCAGAACUCUUUUUUUCGGCGCUUGUUAACGCACCAGUGACUCAGCAGGAGGUGCAAUGUAUGAGCAGUGUUUCAUCACGACUUAUGCACAUACAGACUUCAAGCACCAUGCCCACUUUAAAUCACUGUAUUAGUACUCCAUACUAAUUCUUCUCGACCUCUCUGUUGCCUUUGACACCGUUGAUCAUGCUCUCCUUCUUCAAACGCUUCAGUAACUCGGUCUCUGUGACUUUGUCCUCUCGUGUUUUUCCUCUUAUCUCUCCCAACACUCAUUCAGUGUCUUCUUUUCUAAUGAUACCUCCUUCCUUCAUCCUGUUUCGGUUGGAGUCCCCCAGGGCUAUGUCAUUGGCCCCCUUCUAUAUUCUCUUUAUACUGCCUCUCUUGGCAAACUAAUUACCCCAUUUGGAUUCCACUACCACCUGUACGCUGAUGACAGCCAUAUAUAUCUCUCCUCUCCGGACCUCUACCCUGUCGUCCUGCAACGUGUCACUGCUUGCCUUUCUUCCAUCUCUGACUGGAUGUCCUCCCACUUUCUGAAACUAAAUCUCUCUAAAACUGAACUCCUUGUCUUUUACCCUCCUAACACUGAUCCUCCUCUUUCGCUCUCCCUUCAAGUUAGUGGUUUUCACAUAAUUCUAUCCUUGCAAGCGUGCUGUCUUGGCAUCAUACUUGAUUCUGGCCUCACCUUUAACCCCUUAAGGACACAUGACAUGUGUGACAUGUCAUGAUUCCCUUUUAUUCCAGAAGUUUGGUCCUUAAGGGGUUAAGCCUCACAUACAGUAUAUUUUGAAAUCAUGUAGAGUCCAUCAAAACAUAGCCCGCAUCUGCCCCUUUCUUACACAAGAUGCUAUCAAGGAGCUUGUCCAUGCUCUAGUAAUUUCCUGCAUGGAUUAUUGUAACCCUCUCCUAAUUGGUCUUCCCAAAAACUCCGCUACAGUCUGUAAUGAAUGCUGCCGCCAGACUGAUUUUCCUCUCUAGUCGGUUCUCUCACACCUCUCCCCUCUGCCAGUCCUUACAUUGGCUUCCUGUAUCCUUUGGGAGUCAAUUCAAGGUACUAAUUAACACCUAUAAAGCACUGAACAAUUCUAGCUCCUCUUAUAUCUCUUCACAGAUCCAUAGGUAUGCCCCUUCUUGGUCUCUCCGCUCUGCCUGUGACCUUCUCCUGUCCGUUGUUCGCACCCGUACGGCCAACUCACGUUUGCAGGACUUCUUGCGGGCAGCUGCCUUCCUUUGGAAUAGCCUGCCUACUGCUAUCAGAUUCUCCCCUAGUCUUGCAUCUUUUAAGAAGAGCCUUAAAACCCAUCUCUUUAGGAAAGCUUAUGGCCUCCCAGAGUAACCUCUACCUUACAUAACUGUCUCUUGCUCUCUCUUUUUUAAAGGGCACCACUCCACUCUCUCCUCCAGCUCAGCUUCACUCCCACCUUAUUUAAUUUAUAUUUCCUGUCCUAUUGUGUUUUAUACCCCACCUCCUAUAGACUGUAAGCUCGUUUGAGCAGGGUCCUCUUCAACCUAUUGUUCCUGUAAGUUUUCUUGUAAUUGUCCUAUUUAUAGUUAAACCCCCCUCUCAUAAUAUUGUAAAGCGCUACGGAAUCUGUUGGAGCUAUAUAAAUGAUGAUAAUAAUAAUAAUAGUGCUUGGAGUAACUCUUUACGGGAUCACACUAAGGUUAAGAAUAUAUUGUUUCUAGCCUUAUGCUAGGCUGCAAAUUGAGGACCUACUUCCCCUUCCAGUCCUUGCAGCAGCCAAACACCUCAUUCUGAGAUCAUAAUGAUGGAUGCUUUAUCCACGCAUUGGGGACCUAUAGCAUAUGUGCAGCAAUGGCUGCAUUCCACCAGUCCUAUGCAUCUCACAGAGGAGCAGGGAAUCCAUUGUUGCUGUAUUAUAAUUAUUAUUAUUACUGGUAUUUAUAUAGCACCAGCAUAUUCUGAAGCGCUUUACAAUAUAAUGAGAAACAUUGACAGGGUUCAGUAUUGUAAUGCUGUGCAUGAUGAGGCCAAAUAUGAAGUUCUUUAUGAGUAAGUGUCCCAAGUGGCUUUCAGUCAGUGUGCUGUUUGGCAAACAUAAACAGUGCUGUUUCUCUUAAAUGACAAUGUUGUGUUUUUUACUUUUUUUUUUUUUUAAUGCAAAAGAAGAGGGAAAGCAUUUAUGCCCCAUAACCACUGCAUUAAGAUGUAGUGGUUUUCAUUAUUAAAAUGUCCCUUUAACCCAUUAAAAACCAAUAAUGGUUUAUGUGGUCACAGCAACAGCUGCAAUCAGAACAUCAGAGAUUAAUACUCCUGGUGCAUUAACAGAGAUUAAUUCAACUAUAUCAUCUAACCUUCUGAUAUAUAUAUUUCUAUAUAUAUCUUUUUAUAUUAAACACUGAAAACACAUAAAGCACUUCAGCUUGCUUUGUGACUGGAGUCUGUCAUUUUUAAAAAUAAUUUUAUAAAAGUUACGAUUUCAGUAGAAAUUGGUACUUUUAUUACUGGGUUCAAAAGGUCUUUCCUGUCCCCACUUCUCAUUGAGCUGUACUGGGAAGCCAUGUAAAGCCACAUUUGCGUGCAUGUUGAUGGCUACAACACAGAAGCUUCUCAACAAGAAGGGGGAGGAGGGCUUGCAAUAGCUGCAGAUAGCAAUCUGCAGUUUUCAAGAAUUGCGCUUUCCUAUACCCCUCAAAAAACAUGCAGAACAAAAUACAUACAUGUCUUCUUUGGGGUAAAAGUUUAUAUUUGCUGUGGAGGUGUUCGUUUAACAUUGUAGACAGCACUCUUUUUUAUUUUUAUUUUUUUUAUUGUUUUAUUUUUAUAGUUUAAUUCAUAUAAUGUAUUUAAACAUUAAGGGCUACUCCAACCACCAUGAUCACUUAUGCAUUUGGUCAUGGCGGUCAUAGCUGAAAAGAGACAACAAGUUCAGCUUUUCUCACUUUUGUUUUUGCUGUUGAUUUAACCCCUUAAGGACACAUGACGGAAAUAUUCCAUCAUGAUUCCCUUUGAUUCCAGAAGUUGUGUCCUUAAGGGGUUAAAAGAAGGUUAAAAAACCCAGCCUCAAGUGCUUCCAAAUUUGCCACUAACUAGGAAAAAAUUCCUUCUUGACCCCAGAAUGGCAGUCAGAUCUCUCCUUGGAUCAAUCCGCUAUUACUCAACAAUUUAAAAAUGAUAUCCCUGUGUAUUACGUUUUUGCAAGUAUUUUUCCAAUUGCUGUUUAAACAUCUGCAUAGAACUACCUCUUCAGGCAGAGAAGUCUGCACCCUUAUUGUUCUUACUGUAAACCCCGAUGCCACCUUCCCCCCCAAAAAAACAGACAAUGGUUUGUAUUGACCCCGAAUGUAUUUUUUCAUAUAAAAUUGUUCAUUCUUUUGUAGCCACCCUCUGCACUUUUUCUAGUGCCAUAAUAUUCUUCUUUAGAACAUGUGCUCACAAUUGCAUAGCAUAUUCAAGGUGUGGUCUUGAAUAUAUGAUUUAGUGAUUUAUAAAGAGACAAUUAUAUUUUCAUCCUUAUAAUUAAUGCCCCUUUUUAUACAUGACAAAACCCUACUGGCCUUAGCAACUGCCGAUUGAUAUUGCACAUUGUUGCCUAGUGUGUUGUCAAAAACAAUUCCCAAAUCCUUCUCGUGUAUUGUUAUCCAUAUGGUGUAAGUUGCUUGUGCAUUCUUGAAGUGCAUAACUUUGCAUUUAAUCAACAUUAAAGUUCAUCUGCCAUUUAAGUGCCCAGUUUCCCAAUCUAUCUAAAUCACUCUGCAGCAAAGCAAUAACCUGCUCACACUUUUUUAUUUUACAGAAUUUUGUGUCAUCUGCAAACACUGAAACAUGGCUUUCAAUGCCUAUUUCAAGAUAAUUUCUAAAUAAAUUAAAUAGAAGCGGUCCCAGAACAGAACCCUGAGGGACAACACUUACACUUUUGUCCAGCUUGAACGUUUACCACUAAUAACAACUCUCUGUACUCUAACUUUAGCCAAUGUUCUACCCAUGAACAAGAAUUGUCAUCUAGACCAAGUUCUUUUAGUUGGAGCACUAACCUAUUCGGAGGAACGUUAUCAAAGGCCUUGGCAAAAUCCCAGUAUAUCAAAUUCUCGGAUACUCCCUGAACUAUACAUCUACUCACUUCUUUGUAUAAUGCAAUUAGGUUAGUUUGACAUGACCUAUGUUUCAUAAAACCAUGCCGACUAUUGCUAAUAACAAUAUUCCUCUCAAUUAAUUCCUAAAUAUUAUCCCUUAAUAACCCUUCAAAUACUUUCUCAGCCACAUAAGUUAAGUUCACAGGUCUGUAAUUUCCAGGCAAAUAUUUUAACCCUCUUUGAAUAUAGGAACCACAUCUAUCUUCCCCCAAUCCUCUUGUGUGAUUAAUGAAAGAAAAUAAUCUUAAAAGAUUAAAACCAGAGAUUCACUUAUAUCCACACUUGGCUCCUUAAGUACUCAUGGGUGAAUACUGUCAGGCCCCUGGAGCUUUGUUUACAUUAACUUUCUUUUGCGGCUAUAUCACAUUGUCUUGAGUCAGCCAAUCACAAAUUUUCUGCAAGUUUUUUUUGUAGCAAUAUUUACAUAUCUCUUGCCAUAGGAUCCUCCUUAAUAUUUAUUGAGAACAAAUAGUUUAUUAAAAUUUUCUGUCUCUUCACUUUCACUUUAUUUUUGUUUUUUAGAAUGUACUUAAAAAAAAAUAUUUGGGGGAGGGCCUUGGCUGGUUGUGUAACGGCAUAUACCUGUUCUUGCAGAGCUCUGUCCUAACUUAAUCAGAAGCACCCAGUGACAUUGUAGCAGGUAUGUCGCAUUGCGCUCUGUCAUCAAAUCCUGCCCCAGAGAGUUUGGAAAUAUCCACUUCGAGGGCUGCACGAUGGCAAUCUAUGGGGACCUCCUUGUUGUAUUGCUAGAGAGAAGGCAGCAGGCUACUACGAGGGGCCACGAUCAAGUACCGCCAGGGGGUCGUUUGCUCUUUUUCCAGUCUCUGUGUGAGGGUGCUGUGUGUGUAAGGGAGCUGUGUGUGUGUAUGUGUGAGGGUGCUGUGUGUAAGGGUGCUGUGUGUGUGAGGUUCCUGUGUGGGGGGUGCUGUGAGGGUGCUGUGUGUGUGUGUAAGGGUGCUGUGUAUAUGUGUGAGGGUGCUGUGUGUGGGGGGUGCUGUAUGUGGGUGCUGUAUGUUUGUGUGAUUGUGUGUAUUGUGUGGGGGCCGUUUAGUAAAUAUCCCCCCCUCCCUUCCUACCUUAUGCCAGGGAGGGGGGAUCCUUUCUGCUGCUUCCAUCCCUGGUGGUCCAGUGGAGAGUUAACGCUAGCCUGGGGGGCUAGAGUUCACUCUCGUGAGAUCUGAGCGUUGCCAUGGCAAUGCUCAGAAUCCCGCGAGAGGAACCCGACGGAGCUACUGGCAAGAGCUCCCCGGGUCCUCUCCUGACUCCCUCCCUGCCUGUGGGUCGGUGGGGAAGGAGGUUGUGGUAUUGUAACACCUUUUGUAUACUUUCAUACACUAAUCUAGUUGUAUUUUGGAUACAUAAAAGCCAAUAAAAUACAAACUGGAACAAAAAAAUGUUUUGGGGUUGGUUUUACUCACUUUGGCUACCAAUUAUAAUUUUCCAAUUCAACCACUCUAUCUGUCAUGGUGGUAGGAUUCUGGAUGUGGAUUGUCUCAGUUUGAAACACUGCACCUUAAGAGAGAUUUUCAAUUUUAUGCUGGGGUUUAUUUGCACCCCAGCACACGUGACUUUGGAAGCCCAAAAUGUUGCCGACAGCACUGUGGGUGCUCCCUUCCACCUCCUUUUGUUAAAUAAAUGGGAGCAAUCUUCCCUCCCGCCUCUUUCCCUUUCCCCACCUUCUCUAUGAGAAACCUGUGAUUGAACCAUGGUGAUGUUAUGACAGAGCCGCAAAAUUAAUUUCCAGUAGGGCAGGGUUCAGCAACCUAUAUGUGCCAUGAAUGACAUUCUUUGCACUGAAGUCAAGACUGCCAGAGCCAAACAAGUCUUUACUACACACUGAGUGGUGAGGAGCAAUCCUCAAUUUACGCAUUGCAGCACUUAGAGAAAGUAAUCUCAGAUCACUUCAUCCCAACACUUGUGAACAGGAAUUCACACUGGAGUAGAGCAAAUUGUACCUGGCCAGCCCGGUUCCCACUGGACCCUAGAGAGCCUUCACUCAUACAAUUACAUCGUAAUAGAAACAACCUAGACACUAACACAGUCCCCACAACCACAACACCACUGACAAUGCACAUACAUGCACACAACCCCCCAAGCAGCUCCACACAUACACACAAUGUGACAUAUCAUCCACACAUAAUUCCAUAGACAGUCCACAUUCAUAUGUAUCAUACACAGUACCACAAACUACUCAUGAAUGUAUGCCGUACAAUAUAACAGCCCACAUAUGCACAACUACAACGCUACAAAGCAAUUUCAGCACCCAUAAACAAGAAUACACACUUCAAUUGAAAAAGAGGAAUGACACGCCAAGAGACUUCAAAAUCUUACUUUGUCACAGUUCUAUUAAAAGGUUGCUGUUCAUUGCCAUAGAGCUUUUAUAAUAUAAAUUGAGCGGGGUUUAAUCGGGGAUGAAGUAACCCUUUAUAGAAAAAGGGAGAGGGAGGGAGGGGGGUAAGCACUCAAAACAGUAGUAUAAGCAGGUGUGUAUAUAUACAGUAACAAGUGAAUUUAAGUUAUGAAAGAAAAAAAUCACUGAGUAAUGGAUGCAAAUCGAUCCUUUUACAGUGUUACCCUCUGAGAGUGGAAAACACAGGUAUAUAUCUACCUAGCCACAAAGAACAAUAGCUGAACACAGAAAAUAAAUAUAAUGAUUGAAGUAGAAAAUGGCUUGAUUUUUAUUUUAUUUUUUUUACUCCGUCAUCAUCCUGUUUCUGAGGUCAGAGUAGCUUUUUUUUGUUGUUGCAAAUAAUAGACAAUCAAUACAUUUCCAAAUAAUGGCCUCGAUUUUAUUAUUUUUGUGUAAGCUCUUCGUGUGAUCACAAUCUGUUAGAAAAACAUUUUAACUGAUUUAUUUACAGAAAUCACUAUUAAAGUCUAGGAGAAUGGACAGGUAUGGGAGGCCACAAAAAUGAGCCUAUAAACAGCUAGGCCGCCUCAGCUAUUGUCUUACCCUCUGUACAUAGUUAUAACAAAUCUGUUGAGUUAAAGAUUACUAAAUCCUGUUUUGUAGUACUGUGUUUUUUUUACCUUUGCCAAAUUCCUACAUAAAUGCUUCUUACUUUGUGUUUCUGUUGGACUCCUCUUUAUGUUAACCCUCUCGGCAACAGAAAAGCUUGUCAGGAACUUUACAGCCAUCUGCCCCAAAUGCCGUAUGUUCUAAGCAUUGUGGGAAACCUUGCAUAUAAAAUGGGGUGGCCAGUCCUAAUCAUAGCUAGUGGCCUCAAUGGAGGAGUCAUAUGAGAUAUUCAGGUUAAUAAUGCUUUUACUCAGGGGAGUUAACAGCUGCCAAAAAUACCAGGAACUUCAGCACAAGUUGUGUGCCCCCAACCCCAUAUGAUAUAUUUCUUUCCUAUUCAAAACCAUGAUUGUUGUUAUAUCAUGAUAUAAUUUGAAAUUGGAUAAACUCGAGGUUCCAUAGAAAUAGUUAUUGGAAGAGCUUCAGUUUGUUUUACUUCUCUCUUAAUAUCACAAACGGUCAUAUAGAUACAAAUAACACCUCCAUUUGCAAGUUUCCAGGAGGCUUGGGGACUAACAAUAAAUGGAGCUAAAUACAACUCCACUCGUGCCCCGGCUGGGGUUGGCCCCUUUCCAGCCGCUAUCAUGUUCUUAAUUUAUAAAAUUAAUGGUGGUCUCUCAAUGCAAUGGACAUAUAAUACCUAUAGAUGUGCAGAGCUAAAUUAUAUUCUGUGGAGUUCACUCAUCUCACACUGCCCUUUUUUUAAGGACAAUCUGUGCUAGGACAGCUAGCUCACAUGUUACUUCCUCAUUAUCGCUGUGUAUAGUUGGUCAGAGGUGAAUUCCAGAAUUCCCUGGGCUUCCGGGUCCCCUUGGCUUAUAAUUAACUAACAGACCAUGUGGUCACCAUGUCCCGAGCCCAAAAUAAUAAUAAUAACACACCUGCCCCCAAAAUACAGAGCCUGCUCUCCUUGGCAACAAAAGCAACCGAGUCUUUCCUAGCCCUAACAUGUGACUGAAUUGCAUGUAAUCCCACUCUAUUAACCCAUCACCUCCUGCAAAUUAGAAAAGUAAGGCAGGGACGGGUUUGCUUAAUCAGAUUUAUUUUUAAAUUCGAAACUGUUGUUACAUUAUUAUCCUUUUUUUUAAAUUAAUGUGGUUAUUUUUAACUUGGUCCAAAAAAGCAAAAACUUCAUAUUUUGACACAAAAAUCUUGCUUGUAAAUGAUGAGCACCAUUGGUUGUGAGAUUUUGAUUGAAACACAUGAUGGAUACCGCUGGAUAAAAUGCUAUUAAGUAUCGGUAAUGUGAGCUGUCACUCCCUGUCUGGAGACACCUGGAUCAGAUGAAGCGAAUGUCACAAAUCAGAUUGACGCAGUGACUUGGAAAAUGGGGGAGAAAGAUGUAUAUCAGAUUUCAAAAUCACAUAAAAUAAAUCUUAUUCCAGGUCUAUUUCAACAAUAAAAAUAAGUUUCAAUUAAAAUUCACAGAGUGAACCUGAAUAUUUAUUUUUUAUUUUUUUCCGUACCAACCUGUACAGACUCUCAAAUCUUUUAAUGAAUUGAUUUGGUCAUAUGCCAUGUAUUUGCAAAGUGAACACAAGAUGUCCUUGGAAUUAUACAUUUUUCCCGUCAGAUCUUUAUGGUUUUGGAAGCAAGAAUCGUUUGUGUAAUGACAUUUUGUCCUAGAGGAAAAAAAAGUCACACUUCAUACCAUAUCCAUGACUUGCCAUAUUUUGUUAAUUAAUCUAUAUUAGAUAUUUUUUAUACUAAUGCAUUUUUUUUUAUUAUUAUAAUGGAUGUGUUUAAUUUUAUUACUGCCCGGAAAGUGAAAAUGUUGCCAGCAUUUAUUAUUUUUUUUUUCUUUUCAUUUUUACUUAAUGAACACAAAAUAUGAAAACUGAUAGUUUGGCUGUGCUAUGUUAGGAACAUAAAUUUUAAAAGUAAGUAUUUUAAUCAGUGCUCGAUGGAUUCGUUUAAAAGUGGUCCCAUAUUUUCUCUAGUGUUAGAGGCUGCAGUAUCAAUCAGUUUAUUCACAGGGUACAAUGAAGGCAUGAUUUUAACAAUUUGGCUUUGUGUCUGUUUGUACAGGUGUUGGUCAGAUAGUGCAAACAGUGGGAUUCUGAAAUGACUUACUCCAUACCACCCAAAUGUUCUUCUUUCAGGCCUAAAUCCUUUGAAUCCCAAAAUUUAUAUCCGGCCUCAGCUAGUUUUAAACUUAAAAAGCCAAGUUAAUAGAAGUAACAUCUCCGUACAUACCAUAGGAAAAUAUACAUGCUAUUUAAAUCUUAAAGGUUACCAACCAUCAAUAAAAAAGGACCAAAAGGCCAGACACAUGAGCUAAAAAGGUAUGUAAAUCUUUAUAUACAUUUAGAACCCUCUACAAGCACUAUAAAAAGUACAUUGUCCUAAAGGGACACUCCAAGCACUCUGCGCUUCCUGUAGGUGAAAAUUCUGAAGCCAGAUGCCACCAAAGGAGGAGUGGAGACCAGCGCUUGAGGCAACUUAAGGAACACUAUAGGCACCUAGACCACUUCAACUCAUUGAAGUGGUCUGGGUGCAGUGUCCCAGGUCCCUUAACCCUACAACGGUAAAUAUUGCAGUUUUUAAUAAACUGCAAUAAUUACUUUUUAAGGGUUAACUCCAUCUCUAGUGGCUGUAAUUGACACCGGGCAUCCUCAAGCUAUGCAUGAGGACAUUCAGCACCCGAAAACCCCAUAGGAAUUAAUUGUAUAAUGCUUUCCUAUUGAGAAAGUCCUAAUGCGAAUGCGCCGUUUGCCGCGCAUUAGGUACUUCCCUCCGGCUGACGUCAGCGACAAAGGUGGAGCCUGAACAGGGCCAGACGACUUUAGAGCUAGAAUCAAGUAAUGGAUUGGUGGGGGGACGGGAUGGGUAAACUAUAGGGAGCUAUAGUGCCAGGAAAGCAACUUUUUUUUUUUUUUUCUGAUACUAUAGUUUCUCUUUAAGGGUUAAAGGGAAACUCCAGUGCCAGGAAAACAAUCCGUUUCCGGGCACUGCAGUUCCCCUCUCCAUCCCACCCCCCAAUCCCCGGUUGCUGAAGGGGUGAAAACCUCGUCGCUGCUUCCGCCGCCGCUGCUGCUCCUCUGCAUUACGUCGGCCAGUGGGCGAGACUGAUCCCGCCCACCGGCUGGGGAGACCUAAUGCGCUAUGCCGUGCAUGCGCAUUAGCGCUCCCCAUAGGAAAGCAUUGAAAAUGCUUUUCAAUGCUUUCCUAUGGGGAAAUGAGCGACGCUGGAGGUCCUCACAUAGCAUGAGGACGUCCAGCGACGCUCUAGUACUUUCCUGUACUAGAAACCAGGAAGUGCCCUCUAAUGGCUGUCUAGUAGACAGCCACUAGAGGUGGAGUUAACCCUGCAAUGUAAUUAUUGCAGUUUAUAAAACACUGCAAUAAUUACACUUGCAGGGUUAAGAGUAGUGGGAGUUGGCACCCAGACCACUCCAAUGGGCAGAAGUGGUCUGGGUGUCUGGAGUGUCCCUUUAAACCGUUCAUGAACAGUUUAAACCCUUGAGGUAAGAGUGCCUGCAUGGUCCUCCUGGCCCAAAACAACUUCAUGUUGAUGGAGUUGUUUGGUGCCUAAAGAGUUCCUUUAACUGUGGUCUGCUCCCUGUUUCUGCUACAGACUGCUCUCUGUCUGAGCUAAAACUGGUGAUGCAGGGCUUAGCUCGUUGUCUGAGAGAAAUCCGCUGCUGCUCGCAGGUACUGAGCUACCCCAGUACCAAAACGGUGCAGAGGUGGGCAAGGGUACCAUUCUAAAUGGGCAAUGGUGCAAAUCUAAAGUGGCUUAACUUCUCACUAUAUGGUCCUGGCACCAUAACCACUACAGUGUGUUGAGAGAGUUUAUUUUUAGUGCCUCACAAGCUAAGGGAGCAAGUAGGACUCACAUUGUAAUCACACCUGGCAUAGCAUAACAUCACAUUUCAGUACAUUUAGUAUACAUGUUUUUGGACAUGGGCAAAUAAAGUAGAUUGGAAAGCACUAGAAUAUAACUUGUAUAGCUUAAAGGUACAGUCCAGGCACGAUGACCACUAAUGCCCAUUGCAGUGGUCUGGGUGCCAGCUCCCACUACCCUUAACCCUGCAACUGUAAUUAUUGCAGUUUUCAUAAACUGCAAUAAUUACCUUGCAGGGUUAACUCCUCCUCUGGUGGCUAUCUACUAGACAGCCACUAGAGGGCACUUCCUGGAUUAUUGCACAGAAAACCUGUGCUAGAGCGUCACUGGAUGUCCUCACGCUGUGUGAGGACCUCCAGCGUCGCUCAAUUCCCCAUAAGAAAGCAUUGAAAAGCAUUUUCAAUUCUUUCCUAUGGAGAGCUCUAAUGCACAUGCACGGCAUUGACGCGCAUGAGCAUUAGGUCUCCUCAGCUGGCGGGCUGAUGUAAUGAAGGGGAGGAGCGGCGGCGACCUGAAAUCACUGCCGAGGGACAUCGGCUCGGGUCUCAGGUAAGUCACUGAAGGGGUUUUCACCCCUUCAGCAACCGGGGAUGGGUGGUGGGAGGGAGAGGGGACCUGCAGUGCCAGGAAAACUGAUUGUUUUCCUGACACUGGAGAGUCCCUUUAAAGGAACACUCCAAGCCCCAUGACUACUACCACUGACUGUUGUGGUUAUAAUGUCAGGAGUAACCUUCCCCCUCCCAUUGUCAGUAGUUAAACCAUUUUUAGAAUGGUGCAGUAGCUUUCACUCUCAACCCUUCUCUUUAUUCCAUCCUCCUACUGGACUAUUUAAAUAACUUCAAUUUUCUCAUCUCCCAUAACUGUUCUUUUUUUUUUAAUUUUGUAUAUUUAAUUUCCAUUUUUGUACAAUAGAGUUCUCUCCCUAUACAGGUUGUGUUAUGAGAUGCUAUGAAUACAUUUAAAAAAGGCUUGGAUGCUUUUUUGCAUAAACCUAAUAUUCAAGGAUAUAAUUGAUAUGUAUAUAAACAGGUUGUUGAUCUAAGGAGAAAUCUGAUUGCCAUUAUGGCAGGAAGAAUGAUUUCUUUCCCUUUUAGUAGCAUAAUUGGGAAUGGCUUUAGUUGUUUGUUUUUGCUGCCUUCUUGAUCAACAGCAUAAAAGAAUGGGCUUCACGGUCGAACUUGAUGGACUUUAGUCUUUAUUUCAGGUUAGACAACAAUGUUACUGUAUAAGAAUAAGUCAAUGUACAGCUUUUACACAAAAUGAAAAUGCUGUAAAGAUAAUACAUUGUCUGUAUAAAUGGGGGGGUCAAAUCCUACCUAGAGAAUCCCUUGAAUAUCUCCACCCUCAAAAUAACUGGAGUCCCUAGGCAUCAUCUUACCUUAAGGUGUUUCUGAAUGGUUUACCACCAAAGUUGCGUCCUUGGGUACCCAUUCAUGUUACCUCCCCUUUACUCUGUUUGACCUUCCUGCAAAAAAACAUUGCCUUGCAUGUUAGUGAUAGACUGAAGGUGUCACAUAUCUCUAACAUACUGUUACUCACAGGCACUCAAGACAGAGAAGAGGGAAGUCCAGGGCCCCAAGAUGUGCUAAACCAUUGAAGAUCACCAUAGAUUCCAGCCUCCAAAAUGAAUUCAUUGUGAUAAUGUUGUAAGAAUGGAAAGUAGAGAUAAUUGUUUGUUUGCACUAGCUGUUCUGUGACUGUAAAAUAUUUUGUAAGAUUUUACUGUUACAAUCAAACAUGGUGUACUGAUGAAAAUAUUGUUAUUGUUUUUUUUUGUUUCAUAGGUAAUCAUUGACUUCUAAGUGCUAAAAAAAUGAGUCACCUCAGGGCCUUCACUGCCAGAUUAAAGCCAUAUGGUAUUUCUUUGCUGGCGAUGAAAGCUACAGCCCCAAGGCCUACACUACCGAGAUGUUGCCUACAUUCUUCUGGGAGCAAAGAGCCAUUCUUAAGUGGUACCAAUUCUAGUUACGUGGAAGAAAUGUAUUAUGCAUGGCUGGAGAAUCCAAAAAGUGUCCACAAG